rnacentral:rRNA from 1 species
CACGUAGGGGGCAAGCGUUGUCCGGAUUUAUUGGGCGUAAAGAGCUCGUAGGUGGUUCGGUAAGUCGGGUGUUAAACCCCCAGGCUCAACCUGGGGACGCCACUCGAUACUGCUGUGACUUGAGUCCGGUAGGGGAGCGUGGAAUUCCUGGUGUAGCGGUGAAAUGCGCAGAUAUCAGGAGGAACACCUAUUGCGAAGGCAGCUCGCUGGGACGUAACUGACGCUGAGACGCGAAAGCGUGGGGAGCAAACAGG